AAUAAGAGAAUGACAAAGCAUAUUUUUCCUCCUGAUUUUCGGCUUUUUCCUCCUGAAAAAAUUUAAAUCCAAUUAAAAAUACUAAAAAUCAAGAGGGAAAAUAUGAUUUAUCAUUCGCUUAUU
rfam:Gossypium raimondii Chr08_contig_723, whole genome shotgun sequence.